rnacentral:sRNA from 1 species
AGGGGAUACAAACAAAAGAAGCCCUCGUGCUCGCACGAGAGGGCUUCUUUUUGUUUGUAAGACCCGCCCCAAUAUGAGCAUAAAAGCGACUUUAGUCGCGAUAUGCGAAUAUUGGGAAGGAUUGCGGGAGCGCGAAGCGCGUAGCAAUCCGUAG